CUGGAGGGAAGCGGAGGAGGAAAGGAAGAUGCUUACCGUCCUCACCAGAGCGAAGAGGAGAAGGAAAAGUGGGACACAGAAAGGUUGGAGAGAUUGCCAGA